CGCUGACAGACGGAGCCGCGACGCGACGCGUCCCUUGCACAUUGCCAGGGCAACGGUCCCGGCCCAUGAGCCCAUCCACCCACCAGCCCGCGAAGUUUGAAUGAUUUUUUGUGAAGCCUGAUAUCCUCUGGAGAUAUUUUGGGAACGAAAUUCAUGGAGUGGAGAUUGCAGAUCAUCCGAAAUCGCUGAAAAUUGCUAUAUCGCUAUUUUCUACUGAUAUUUACGCAAGAGCCUACACAAGAACACCUCGAAUUGUCAUGAAUUUCAAUGGAAUUCUAUUUGCCAGGGCAGAGACCCGGACUCGGACCCGGACCCGGACCCAGACCCUGGCACGGAUGCAACAGCAGAAGUAGCAGCAGCAGCCACCCCCCAGUUCCAGUACCAAGGCCCGGGGCGAUGAAAUUUGAUAAAUAUGCGUACAUAUUAGUUUCAGACCCACCCACGGAUGAGCGAGAGAUGAGAGCCAAAGCUCGAAAUAAAACUAAAAAACAGCCCCCGGGCGGAAAUUUUAC